ACCAGGCGUGGUGGCGAACGCCUGUAAUCCCAGGGGCUCAGGAGGCUGAGGCAAGAGGAUCAAUAGUUCAAAGCCAGCCUCAGCAAAGAUGAGAAACUAAGCAACUCAGUGAGACUCUGUCUCUA
rnacentral:sRNA from 1 species